UACAGAGGGUGCAAGCGUUAAUCGGAGUUACUGGGCGUAAAGGGCGCGUAGGCGGUUAGAUGUGUGAGAUGUGAAAUCCCUGGGCUUAACCUAGGAACUGCAUCUUAAACUGUCUGACUGGAGUACUGUAGAGGGUAGUGGAAUUUCCGGUGUAGCGGUGAAAUGCGUAGAGAUCGGAAGGAACACCAGUGGCGAAGGCGGCUACCUGGACAGAUACUGACGCUGAGGCACGAAAGCGUGGGGAGCAAACAGG
rnacentral:rRNA from 1 species